GAUGAACGCUAGCGGCAGGCCUAAUACAUGCAAGUCGGACGGGAUCCAUUGAUAUCUUGCUAUCAAUGGUGAGAGUGGCGCACGGGUGCGUAACGCGUGAGCAACCUGCCUCCAUCAGGGGGAUAGCCUCUCGAAAGAGAGAUUAACACCGCAUAAUAUCAACAGUUCGCAUGUUCAGUUGAUUAAAUAUUUAUAGGAUGGAGAUGGGCUCGCGUGACCUUAGCUGGUUGGUAGGGUAACUGCUUACCAAGGCGACGAUGUCUAGGGGCUCUGAGAGGAGAAUCCCCCACACUGGUACUGAGAAACGGACCAGACAACUACGGGAGGCAGCAGUAAGGAAUAGUGGUCAAUGGGCGGAAGACUGAACAAGACAUGCCGCGUGCAGGAUGACUGCCCUAUGGGUUGUAAACUGCUUUUGUACAGGAAUAAACCUAAAUACGAGUAUUUAGCUGAAUGUACUGGAAGAAUAAGGAUCGGCUAACUCCGUGC
rnacentral:rRNA from 1 species